ensembl:lncRNA
AUGUCAGUUCAGAUCUGCAACCUGCCAUCACCCCUUCCAGCGAGCGUGCGUGCGAGCGUGCGUGUUGGGUCACAGCGGCACCUCUGUCACUUUGUGGUACCGGAGCCCCCUCAGCGUCCACAAAAGCCCGCCGCCCCUGCUGCACCCCCCUACCCACGCCCCCCCCGAGGACCACAGGCUGCAGGAUUAGGUGAGCUUAGGGCCCCGUGUCUCUGGUCGCUCGGACUGGCUACCUCGCCACACAUUCAGGAUAAUCCUAAUUUGCUCACCUCUCGGCCUCCGGCAGCCGGCUCGGUGCUGAGAGCUCGUGAGGUUUGCAAAAUGUGACAAGUUGCGAGGUAUUUCAGCUUGUCCUUAGCCAUUUAUAGGAAGCACUGAGGGUGGUGGUCUAAUAGCGGGAGAAAUGAAAACGUUCUAGUCAAUCAAGCAGGGUCCCUGCAGUGGUGCACCUGAUGGUUUCAUAGAAGGGCCUGAAUAUAAGAACAGCUGAAGCCCUUUAACGUGUAUGCAUGUCGAUUAAUCAUCCUGUUAGGGAAAUGAACAGGAAUUUAACCUCUGCCUGUUCGGUGGAACUGGUACUUAGAGGAAGUGGAGGUCUGAUUGAUUUUCUGUCCCGUGUGAGUGAACUACAUGCGGCUAUCAAUGCAGGAGUUGAACUGAACAUGUGAAUGCCUGUGUUAUCGGAUACGGUCACUCCGACAUACUGAACAAACACAACGAAGAACGCGCAAGGCGCACUGCCUGUCGUGGACACCAUAUGAUCACCAUACAUUAAGCUAUAAAAAGACACAAGUUUAAGUCAGUUUCCUCGUAUUUAUUUCUCCCGUGUUGGUUGUUUUCGACACGAUGAUGCAAGAGCGAGUUUUCUAUUCGAACGAGGUCCGAUAAGUUCAGUCCAGAGACACAUACCAGAUAUUAGAAACAUUCAUGUUUCUGCUUUUGCAUCCAGUCCUCAUUGUGUCACACUUGCUUUGUCUCUGGUGGCGAUGUGCUAAGGUAAGAGCGGCUUGUGGGGGGGUGAAUCCAUCACUGUCAUGGGAGCCCGUUGAUCAUAUGCACUCUGCCUACAGGUCUAAUGAAAUAACCUGCUGGUUUAGACAAAUCUGUACCUCCGUCGGUGUCGGACACAACAGAGCAUGUGUACUUUUUAGAAGGUCUUACUGAAAGAAAAAAGUACAGGAUCAAUUUCUAAGCAUUGGCAUGUACUGUAACAAUCUUAGCUUGGAAAUGAUGUUAAAGCAAUAGUUUGGCAUUUUAAUAAAUGUGCUUAUUCGCUCUGUUCAAAGGUAAAAUCCACUUGCCGGUACCUGACAUUCUCCCUCCGAUGUAACGGCUGCACAGACGUUAGUCAUAAGCCACGUGCCCACGAUCCGCAUGCAUACUAAUCUGCUGCUCAACCUUUUCCCACAAGUUCUUUCCAUCAUUUAGCUCUUUUAAAUUUUUUAACUCUCAUCUCUGAAACCAUGAUUCAACUCACAUGGUCGCACAUUUGUCCAGGAAGGUACCAGGCGGCUUCCUCCUGGUCUGAAAGGCGAAGCCAGCAAGGGGCAACUUGACUUAACGCGGGAAUGUUUGCGUCUAAGUCUGCGAUAAAAUGCAUGAAUGAAUACUGAAUUACUUUUACCAUCAAGGGUAAAAUCCACCAUAGAUAAGAGUAGGGUUUAGGGCGUGGCUGACUGGUGAUUGACAGGUCUUUAGCAUGGCAUUCUAUGUGUGCUCCAUGUUUUUGUCUUUGAACUUUAAUCCUGUUACAUUCUGGUUUUAUUUUCACACUCCAGCUUUUAUGCUAACCUAAGCUAACCGGCUUUAGCUUCAUAUUUACCACACAGACAUGAGAGAGGUUUCCAUCAAAACCUAUUUCUAAAAAAUCCCAGACUAUUCCCAUAAACGAGCAGAGGCAUGUUGUGUGUUUUUUUUUUUCUUGCUGUGACUGCAAGUAGAAAAUAUUUCUUAUUUCAUUUUGAAAAGCGAUUGAAGUGAAAGCCAUUUG